CCCGCAGAGCAGAGCAAAUGGCGGGAAGCGCCGGCAGUCGGGUGGGCCAAUCGGCACGCUCGUGGCAGCCAGCGCAGCUGGGAUUGGCUGAGGCUGGCGCAGCGGGGCGGGUGCUGAGGGCUGGGGCUGGGCUGAGGCAGGGUGGGGGCCAUGAUGGCGAACGUGGCAGGCACACACGUCAGGGGGCCGCCGCUUCUUGUGCAGUCCAAAUCUCCCUGUUCCCUUAAUAUAAAUAUCUGUAUCGGCCCGAUAGCAGAUCGUGCUUUCACAUACAACCUGGCCUCUCUUCAGGCUUCUUGUAGAAAUACAUCUCCAGUGAUAUUUGUGGUUUUCUGGUGCUGCUACAUGUUUAGGAGAUGGAGUGUCAGGAAUUUAACUCGCUUAGUUCCACAGAACUUCGAUGAACAAUGGGCUCUUUGGGAGCCAGAGGCCCUAGAGGCCCGUGGGAGACCUAGGCCGGGAGUCAUGCAAUAUCCUAGGCCUCAGCCCUGGAAAAGGGAGCAAUUCAGCUGGGCCUUGAUUCUUCAUGUCUCUGUGUUGGAUUCAGUCAUCUGAGCAGUGCAAAGCAGGAUUACAAUUGUACCCAAUCAGACUGUACAGACCUUACAUUAAAAUUCGCUGCUGGAUACGGCUGCAGAAAGCUAAUGGGAAGGCAGAUUCGCUUGCUGAUUUUCCUGAGGGCCAUAUGGAAAGAAACAUUUUCUGAUCACCUACUGCAUACAGCAAACUGUACCCUUUGUGGGGUGUCGUGACCCAGAGAAGUCACUGUGACUUUUGUGUUGACUUCAGCAGGGUCAAAAUUGACCCUUGGGAUCUUCUUUGUGGACGGGACAGGAAGACAAGGUUGUCAGGACUUGAAUUUCCCCCGGGUGCUGUUAGUGGAGAACAGCAUUCCACAUUGUGGUCACUUUCUGGGAUACAUGCAAAUCUUUGUCCUAGUAUGCAUUAUUUGUCCUACUUUUAGUUUUAGCCAUUAAUGCUGAAAAUUAAAGUCAGUAGCUUUACUCAGCAUGUCACUACAUGGCUCACGCAGCAGGAAUGGAUUUUACGUUAAUGCAACUUUCAGAACCUGCCAAAGGCAGCAGGCCCUGAGCAUAGCCCCCACAUCACCAAAGCCAGUGGAGCUGCACCAUGUUAAAACUGGUUAUGGGGGAAGCCACGAGCUCCGUGUGAUUAUUUUUCUGUUUAACAUGGUAUUCUUUUUCUCAACUUUUGACUAUAAAAUAGCAUCAUAUGGCUCCACGUUUACAACAUCUUACAUCAAGUACAUUUUAUGAAUGGAUAAUUUUUAGGUUUUGUCUACUAGAGCACUCACACUGAGGCUUUGUUGUUGAUGGCAGUAGUUGUUUGUUUGUUUUUACUUUUACACAACAAAAUGUUUUGCAAGUCCAAUUAAGAUUUUUGUUUGCACAUCUUAAGGCCUUACUGAAAUAAAGUAGGGCAAUCUCAAUUGCCA
ensembl:lncRNA